rnacentral:tRNA from 1 species
GCUCCGGUAGUAUAGCCCGGUCAAGUAUUCCGGCCUUUCGAGUCGGAGACCCGGGUUCAAAUCCCGGCCGGAGCA